rnacentral:rRNA from 1 species
GAUGAACGCUGGCGGCGUGCCUAAUACAUGCAAGUCGAGCGAACGGACGAGAAGCUUGCUUCUCUGAUGUUAGCGGCGGACGGGUGAGUAACACGUGGAUAACCUACCUAUAAGACUGGGAUAACUUCGGGAGACCGGAGCUAAUACCGGAUGAUAUUUUGAACCGCAUGGUUCAAAAGUGAAAGACGGUCUUGCUGUCACUUAUAGAUGGAUCCGCGCUGCAUUAGCUAGUUGGUAAGGUAACGGCUUACCAAGGCAACGAUGCAUAGCCGACCUGAGAGGGUGAUCGGCCACACUGGAACUGAGACACGGUCCAGACUCCUACGGGAGGCAGGAGUAGGGAAUCUUCCGCAAUGGGCGAAAGCCUGACGGAGCAACGCCGCGUGAGUGAUGAAGGUCUUCGGAUCGUAAAACUCUGUUAUUAGGGAAGAACAUAUGUGUAAGUAACUGUGCACAUCUUGACGGUACCUAAUCAGAAAGCCACGGCUAACUACGUG